GACAGAGGGUGCGAACGUUGUUCGGUGUCACUGGGCUUAGAGGGCGCGUAGGCGGCUCGGUUAGUGGGAGGUGAAAGCUCCGGGCUCAACCCGGAAAUUGCCUUCCAAACGGCCGAGCUUGAGGGCUGGAGGGGGAAGCGGAACGUCAUGUGUAGCGGUGAAAUGCGUUGAUAUAUGACGGAACGCCGGUGGCGAAGGCGGCUUCCUGGUCAGCUUCUGACGCUGAGGCGCGAAAGCGUGGGGAUCAAACGGGAUUAGAUACCCCUGUA
rnacentral:rRNA from 1 species